GGUAAAAUAUACCAUAAACAGAAGGCCUCCAUUUUAGUCUAUUUUAAUGUUAAGAAAGUAGCCAGAAAGACGAAGAGAAAAAGAAGUGAAACAGUAUUUCGCAAUAAUAAGUGAUAAGAAAUAUGGGUUGGGGUUUUGUAGAGCAUUUAAAACUAACGACAUGAAUUAGCUAUAUAAACUGUAGAUGGUUAAUAAUUUGUCAUUCGGUAAAUAGACUGAGAUUUUAAAGUUUAAUCAGCAUGUUAUGUGUAAUACUAACAGUUAUACUUGGUGGUAUUGCUUUAUGUGCAUUUAAUGACAAGCCAAAGUUUUCAUGAAUUUCAAGAGUUUCUUUUUGAUAUUAAGACAAAGGCUUUAGAUGUAUAUUACGAUGCAACCUAUAAACAGAUAGUAUUCGACGCUUCAUAUUCUUUCGACUUCCCCGUUAGAAAUGAAACUAAAAGUUUUAGAGUGAUACAAGACUUCAAUAAGCUCACCCAAUACACGGUAGACAUGGAGAGUAAAACCUGUACAAAAUCACCAUUAGCAGAUAAUUUUCAUAAAUUGUGCAAAGACAUGUUGAAAAAUGAUUUUGAAGAUCAUCCAAUGGCCACUGUUAAAUAUAAUGCAACCACCAAAGACUUUAAUAUCAGUAUGAGUAUGUCUAUUGGCAACUAUUUUGCUGUUUCAAGUACGUGCCGUUUCGCCACUCGACCAAAGAAAACAAAACCCAGUCAGUAUUUGCCGCUGUAUCCAGAUCGGGAUGACACGAUGGUGAUUUUUAAACCUUACUACCAGACCAACAUUUUCACCAAAGGUUUAGAUGAUGUCGGUUAUGGUUACGUCACACCAGGAAUUAAAGAUGCAGCCAUAUUCAAGUUGCCUGUCUUCUGUGUCAAUGUAUAGCAAGACCCUUUCAUUCAUCAAAAUGAACGAAG